rnacentral:lncRNA from 1 species
CUUGAAACCAGACGUCCUCCCAACUAGCAGCCAGGCUGCCAGCUGAAACAAGUGUGACCAGGUUGGAGAAACAGGGAGAGACAGUCUUAGCCAACCUGAUUUCUUUCUCAGAAAAAAAUCACAGGAUACACCUACAGAGGCUUUGUGAUUUCAUCCAGUUCCCAUGUCACCUCCGAGAGCUGUUCUCAGAUGAUCAACAACCCACAGCUAAUAUUUACUAAGUGCUUGCUCUUGAUGUCGAGUGACUGGUGCUCAGUAGACACUGGUUUCCUCCCUUCCUUCCUGGCUGCUUUGAAGAGAAUAACAGAGGAGAUCACCAAAGCUUCCCAGACCGGAGUGAUUUUUUUAAAUACCAAAGAAAAAUCAGAAGAAUUGGGUUUGAAGCCAGACUUCGCCAUUGACCAGCAGCACCCUGAGAGGAAGUGUGGGGAGCCCGUCACAACCUUUAGGUAUCAUCUUUCCCUGAUGUGGGGUACCUGGCCUGGUGGUUUAGUGGCCACGUCCUGCAGGUGGACUGCCUGGUCCAAGCUCCAGCAUCACCAUCGCCAGCUAGUGAACCCUGGCUGAGUUCCUUCCUACGUCUAUCUCUCAAGUUUUCUUUUUGGAAAAAUGUGAGUAAUGACUGUGCCUCCUC